rnacentral:rRNA from 1 species
GGAUUCCCCUAGUAACUGCGAGUGAAGCGGGAAAAGCUCAAAUUUGAAAUCUGGCAGUCUUUUUUUUCUUCUUUGGCUGUCCGAGUUGUAAUCUAGAGAAGUGCUUACCUGCGCUGGACCAUGUAUAAGUCUCCUGGAAUGGAGCGUCGCAGAGGGUGAGAAUCCCGUCUUUGACAUGGACUGCCAGUGUGUUGUGGUGUGCUCUCAAAGAGUCGAGUUGUUUGGGAAUGCAGCUCUAAAUGGGUGGUAAACUCCAUCUAAAGCUAAAUAUUGGCGAGAGACCGAUAGCGAACAAGUACCGUGAGGGAAAGAUGAAAAGGACUUUGGAAAGAGAGUUAAACAGUAUGUGAAAUUGUUGAAAGGGAAACGCUUGAAGUCAGUUGUGUCGGCUAGGGAUCAACCUAGCUGUUUUUUGCUGGGUGAAUUUCCUAGUCUGACAGGCCAACAUCAGUCUUGACUGCCAGAAAAGAGCAGUGGGAAUGUGGCACCUUCGGGUGUGUUAUAGCCCUUUGUCAUAUGUGGCGGUUGGGACUGAGGGAUGCAGCAUGCCGUGAGGCUGGGUCUUUGACCACCUUCGUGCUUAGGAUGUUGGCUUUUAAUGGCUUCAAUCGACCCGUCUUGAAACACGGACCAAGGAGUCUAACAUGCCUGCGAGUGUUUGGGUGGGGAAAACCCUUGUGCACAAUGAAAGUGAAAGUUGAGAUCCCUGUCAUGGGGAGCAUCGACGCCCGGACCUGAGCUUUUAGCGACGGAUCUGCGGUAGAGCAUGCAUGUUGGGACCCGAAAGAUGGUGAACUAUGCCUGAAUAGGGCAAAGCCAGAGGAAACUCUGGUGGAGGCUCGUAGCGAUUCUGACGUGCAAAUCGAUCGUCAAAUUUGGGUAUAGGGGCGAAAGAC